AGGGCUCUAGCAAGAAGAUGCCAGCAGAGGCUUGAAAAGUGCCUACCCCUGGCCUGGGAUGCUUCCUCCUGGGAUGCUCCCACUUGGAACCCAACUAUUGUGCUGCAGAAGUUUAACUUAACUGUGUAAGGAGGCCAAGAGGAGGCCCUGGCUGCCAGCCAGCAUCAACUUCCAGUGACGUGAGUGUGCCAUUCUGGAACUGGAUCCUGCAGCCUCGGUGGAGCAGCCUCAGCUGAUGCCAUGUGGAACAGAGAUGAACUGCCGCUGCCGAGCUCUGCCCACGUUGCAGAAUCAUGAGCAAAUAUGUUGUGGAUUGGCUGUAACUCUGCUCUGGGAUCCAGGCUGAAGGAGCAGGCUCUAUCUGGAACAUUACUAGUCUCCAGGCAGAAGAAAAAGAGACAAUGGAAUGGAUGAUUGAAUGGAUGAAUGAACUCCACAGGAAGAUGAGGAAAGCCUUUAUGGAUGGAGUGAGCUUGCAGCAGAGUCUCAAAGGUCCUGAAAAACCCUUUUUGGAAA
rnacentral:lncRNA from 10 species